GGGCGAAUAGCUCAGCUGGGAGAGUGCCUGGAUCACACCCAGGAGGCCACAGGUUCGAGCCCUGUUUCGCCCACCA
rnacentral:tRNA from 1 species